rnacentral:rRNA from 1 species
GACGAACGCUGGCGGCGUGCCUAAUACAUGCAAGUAGAACGCUGAAGAGAGGAGCUUGCUCUUCUUGGAUGAGUUGCGGACGGGUGAGUAACGCGUAGGUAACCUGCCUGGUAGCGGGGGAUAACUAUUGGAAACGAUAGCUAAUACCGCAUGAAAUUGCUUAUCGCAUGAUAAUUAAUUGAAAGAUGCAAUUGCAUCACUACCAGAUGGACCUGCGUUGUAUUAGCUAGUUGGUGAGGUAACGGCUCACCAAGGCGACGAUACAUAGCCGACCUGAGAGGGUGAUCGGCCACACUGGGACUGAGACACGGCCCAGACUCCUACGGGAGGCAGCAGUAGGGAAUCUUCGGCAAUGGGGGGAACCCUGACCGAGCAACGCCGCGUGAGUGAAGAAGGUUUUCGGAUCGUAAAGCUCUGUUGUAAGAGAAGAACGGGUGUGAGAGUGGAAAGUUCACACUGUGACGGUAUCUUACCAGAAAGGGACGGCUAACUACGUGCCAGCAGCCGCGGUAAUACGUAGGUCCCGAGCGUUGUCCGGAUUUACUGGGCGUAAAGCGAGCGCAGGCGGUUAGAUAAGUCUGAAGUUAAAGGCUGUGGCUUAACCAUAGUAUGCUUUGGAAACUGUUUAACUUGAGUGCAGAAGGGGUGAGUGGAAUUCCAUGUGUAGCGGUGAAAUGCGUAGGUAUAUGGAGGAACACCGGUGGCGAAAGCGGCUCUCUGGUCUGUAACUGACGCUGAGGCUCGAAAGCGUGGGGAGCAAACAGG